UCAUGGCUGCUUCUGUGGCUCGGUUUCGCAGUGGAAACACACAGCAUGCUCUGUUUACCUCCCAGUCCUGCCAGCGAGAUCGAACCCGCUCCCUGAUCCCAGCUAAUCCUCGGAGCUAAUCUCCCCACUCAUGAGCGAGAGCCAAGAGGAAAGACUGAAAUAGUCAGAUUGUUACAGCACAAAGUGCCUUUUACUAUUCCAGCCUUUCCAUGGCGAAAUGCGCCUCGGUGCUGUAACGGCAGCAGUCCGAGGCAGGACGUCUCCGGGGCAGGACCAUGUGCACCACCAUGAUGGUUCUCACCACUAUCGCUCUCAUCCUGCGCCAGCGCUUUUCCAGCAAAAUCAAGCCGCAGAAAGAUGCUAGUGAGAGAGAUGUGCCAUACAUGAAGAGCAACAGAGCAGCAGAUGAUCAAAAAUGACAGCAUGAGCAACACGGGAUGUGGAUUAUUUCAGAGAGGGCCAUUAUUCAACAUUUGAUGAGCAUCAGUGGCCUCUUUUGGGAGACAACACGGGAAAGAUUCCCUGUAAUCCUCCAUUGUUUGCUCUCAUUGAUCUGAUUCAUCUGUACUUGACAGCUCAGGCCAAGACUCCCACCAGGAGUAAAAAACAACAAGGGCUGGAUAAAGAGUGAGCCUGUUUUGAUCAUGACCUCCGCUGUGAGCCCAGCAGUUGCUCCCUCACUCAGACAGAAAACAACAGUAUAAUUUUGGGAUAAUGUCCAGCCAGGAAACCAAAAUAAUGCAGUGACAUAAUAAUUUUACAGCAAUAGUUAUAUUAUUGUCUGCUUUAUUAGAUGUUACAGAAACAAAACAUAUUCUGUGCCUCCAUUGAAACCUCCCAACCACAGUAUAAUAUUCUUGUCUUUCUGUGUGUUUUGAUUUGAACAAAAGUUAUCAGUAAUGUUAAACAGAAAAGUUGAUUGGAUUUAUGGUAUAGGUAGUUUUUCUUAGCAGCUUGCGAGUGACCUGAUUUCCUCUAAAAUAAGAAUGAAUGAAUUGAUGUAUUGUCUGUGCUUAAUCCUUAAAGGGUUUGUGUUCUCACGAUUGAAGCCCACCGACUGAAUAAAGUUAUGAAAGGCAGCUGUGCAAAC